rnacentral:rRNA from 1 species
UACGGAGGGUGCGAGCGUUGUCCGGAAUCACUGGGCGUAAAGGGCGCGUAGGUGGCGCGGGCAGUCAACGGUGAAAGUUCGGGGCUCAACCCUGAAUCGGCCGUCGAUACUCCCGUGCUUGAGCACUGUAGAGGCAGGUGGAAUUCCGGGUGUAGCGGUGGAAUGCGUAGAGAUCCGGAAGAACACCGGUGGCGAAGGCGGCCUGCUGGGCUAUGGCUGACACUGAGGCGCGACAGCGUGGGGAGCAAACAGG